UACGGAGGGUGCGAGCGUUAAUCGGAAUUACUGGGCGUAAAGCGCACGCAGGCGGUUUAUUAAGCUAGAUGUGAAAGCCCCGGGCUCAACCUGGGAUGGUCAUUUAGAACUGGCAGACUAGAGUCUUGGAGAGGGGAGUGGAAUUCCAGGUGUAGCGGUGAAAUGCGUAGAUAUCUGGAGGAACAUCAGUGGCGAAGGCGACUCCCUGGCCAAAGACUGACGCUCAUGUGCGAAAGUGUGGGUAGCGAACAGG
rnacentral:rRNA from 1 species